AAACUUUCAACAACGGAUCUCUUGGCUCUCGCAUCGAUGAAGAACGCAGCGAAAUGCGAUAAGUAAUGUGAAUUGUAGAUUUCAGUGAAUCAUCGAAUCUUUGAACGCACCUUGCGCUCUUUGGUAUUCCGAAGAGCAUGCCUGUUUGAGUGUCAU
rnacentral:rRNA from 1 species